rnacentral:rRNA from 1 species
GACGAACGCUGGCGGCGUGCUUAACACAUGCAAGUCGAGCGGUAAGGCCCUUUCGGGGGUACACGAGCGGCGAACGGGUGAGUAACACGUGGGUGGCCUGCCCUCAGCUCUGGGAUAAGCCUGGGAAACCGGGUCUAAUACUGGAUAUGACUCCAUGACGCAUGUUGUGGGGUGGACAGCCUUGUGCGGCUGAGGAUGGGCCCGCGGCCUAUCAGCUUGUUGGUGGGGUGAUGGCCUACCAAGGCGACGACGGGUAGCCGGCCUGAGAGGGCGACCGGCCACACUGGGACUGAGACACGGCCCAGACUCCUACGGGAGGCAGCAGUGGGGAAUCUUGCGCAAUGGGCGAAAGCCUGACGCAGCGACGCCGCGUGAGGGAUGACGGCCU